rnacentral:rRNA from 1 species
AUGACUCGAUCGUAUGGAUAUGGAAAAUACAGGAUUUCCGAUCCUAGCGGGAAAAGGAGGGAAACGGAUACUCAAUUUAAAGUGAGUAAACAGAAUUCCAUACUCGAUCUCAUAGAUCCCUAUAGAAUUCUGUGGAAAGCCGUAUUCGAUGAAAGUCGUAUGUACGGCUUGGAGGGAGAUCUUUCCUAUCUUUCGAGAUCCACCCUACAAUAUGGGGUCAAAAAGCCAAAAAAAUAA